UACGUUUGAAUUGUGCGGACCGACACCGAUGAGUUUUGGACCGUUUCCGCGCGGUAAUAUUGCGUUUUAUUCGUUUUUCGUUAAAUCCGUCGGUCGUUUGUGAGACCGUUGUGUCGGCGGAAGUUACGGCCGACAAAUGUCCGGGGAGAGAUUUCAUCGAACGUCGUAUCGAAAUCUGAUACAAUCGAACGAAAUUCGAAACCGCGGACCGUCAUUAUUGGCGCCCGGGGCUUAUUGCGUUUGAAAUUCGCGAGAAAAAUACGCUUGCGGACGUGGAAAAAACCUCGAAAAACAGCAUU